ACAUUGAGGGCAAAGUUGAAUCUUCUCCCUUAAAUAUAUUUAUUACUGAUAAAUGAUAAUAUCGAUAUUGUAGAUACUGUUGUGCAAUUGAAGAUGAUUUGUUGAACCCAAACCAACCCAUUCCACUAAAUCAAUCUUCUAAUGGCUACACUCUCCACCUCCACAUUUCCAUGCCGGCAACCCGCGAACCGGAAUCGGCCAAGAAACCGAAAGCCACCGACCGUAGUAUCGGAGUACAGACACGAACCAGAAACCGAACCGGAACCAGAAUCAGUCUCACUUGUCCCUAAAAGAGGGACGGCAAUGGCAGUAGACUGGUCAAAGGUGAAGAAAAGAGAGGAAAAAGAGAGAAAAGAAGAAACGAACAGAAAAGUAGCGUCAAGAAAAGCUGUGUCAGUGAUUUUAAGAAGAGAAGCAACCAAAGCUGUAAUUGAGAAAAAAAGAGGACCUACCAACUCUAAAAAAUUGCUUCCCAGGACUGUUCUUGAAGCUCUUCAUGAACGUAUUACUGCCUUGCGUUGGCAAUCUGCUCUCAAGGUUUUUGAAUUAUUACGAGAACAGCUAUGGUACAAGCCGUAUGCUGGAAUGUAUAUCAAGCUCAUUGUCAUGCUUGGAAAAUGUAAGCAGCCUGAGAAGGCUCGUGAGCUUUUUCAAGCUAUGAUUGAUGAAGGUUGCGAUGCGAAUCCUGAAGCGUAUACUGCUUUAUUAUCUGCUUAUGGUAGGAGUGGUGUCUUUGAUAAAGCAUUUUCUCUACUAGAGGAAAUGAAGAGUAAUCCUGAUUGUCAGCCUGAUGUCCAUACUUAUUCAAUCCUCAUAAAGUCUUGCGUCCAAGUUUAUGCCUUUGAUAAAGCGCAGGAAUUGCUAAACGAUAUGCAAUAUUGGGGAAUCAGUCCCAACACUAUCACGUAUAAUACCCUUAUCGAUGCAUAUGGAAAAGCAAGAAUGUUUGAAGAGAUGGAAGCAACAUUAGUGGAGAUGCUUAGCGAGCAGAAUUGCAAACCUGAUGUUUGGACUAUGAACUCCACAAUAAGAGCCUUUGGCAACAGCGGACAAAUCGAAAUGAUGGAGAAGUGUUAUGAGAAGUUUCGGGGUGCAGGGAUUGAACCGAGCAUUAUGACCUUUAACAUUCUCCUGGAUUCAUAUGGAAAAGCUGGAGACUACAAGAAAAUGAGUGCAGUGAUGGAAUAUAUGCAGAAAUACCAUUAUUCUUGGACGAUUAUAACCUAUAAUAUAGUGAUAGAUGCAUUUGGUAGGACUGGGGAUUUGAAACAGAUGGAGUAUCUGUUUAGGUUAAUGAGAUCAGAAAGGAUCAAGCCGAGCUGUGUUACUUUUUGUUCUCUUGUGCGAGCUUAUGGACUAGCUGAGAAACCUGAAAAAAUUGCAGGGGUGUUGCGUCUUAUUGAGAAUUCUGAUAUAACAUUGGAUACUAUAUUUUUCAAUUGUUUAGUAGAUGCUUAUGGGAGAUUGGGAUGCUUUGCAGAGAUGAAAGCGGUGCUUGAGCUGAUGGAACAGAAAGGGUGUAAGCCUGACAAAGUUACAUAUAGAACCAUGAUUAAAGCUUAUUCAAGCAAUGGGAUGACCAAAAAUGCGAAGGAGCUAGAAGAUCUUUUACGGUCAGUUGAAGGACCUCAAUUGCAGAGGAGGAAGCCUGACUUUUAAUAAAAAGUGAAAACAUCAUAGUCCCACAACUCAAAGCUUCCUCGUAAGGUACUGUUUGCUUAUAUUUAUGCACAUCUGAGGCCUUUUUAUCCUGCAAUUGGAAUUUUGCUUAUGAUGGAAGUCUAUGCUAUUCAUGAUCAACUAAAAAUUGGAAUAUAAAUGAUCAGAGAAGCAAGUGAUCUUCUGCUAAAUGAUGCGAUAACAGUAAUGGUUAUCUGGACAUAUUAACUGCAGAUAACCAGUCAACAUUCAACUCUUAUGGCGUUGAUGAGAUCCAGUGUGCUGAAAGUUUCAGAUUGGCUUUAGAUUUGUAGUGACCGAGGCUAAAUGCUCCAAUGACGAUCAUUUACCAAAGAUGGUAAUGAGUGGAGAGAUUAAGUUUAUAAUGCAGCAAUCUCUACACUGAGGCACUACAGUGUUGGGUAGUACCGAAGCUAUUAGAGUGCUUCAUGCUGAGCUAGUAGGAGCGGUGCAUUAUUUGUCAAGAAAGUAGCUGAAUGAUGUUAACUAUUGCAAAGAAUUGUUGCUUUAACGGACAAAGUUUCAGUCAAAAAUUGACUAGGGACAGAAACUGAGCAAGAGAGAGCAAGCUGUCUCCAUUACACGGCGAUGCUUCCACUUGGUAGCUUAUAUCAGCAUAGAGGGAAUCAGAUACGCUACAUGCAGAUUUAGCUUAUACAGAUUCUUCAUUUCAGGUGAAUGAAACAGUGGAGAAAGUACUACUAAAUCCAAACGAAGCUCUAAAGGCGGCAAAGCAGACUGAAGAAUAACAACUACUAUCCUGGUUGAACCUAAAAUGCAGAUGUGAUGGCCUGGCCUGAACUGUGGCAUCACAGUUAGAAACUCCCUGAAAACCAUCAUCGAAAUGUGAGGAAUCCAGCGAUUUUGCCGGGCCAACUCUUCAGAUAGGAAAUUAUUCUUGCUUUUGACAAAUCCUGCUAAAGCCUGAGGGUGCAUUGGAAGGCGAUAGAACUCCUCGUCAUGGUUGAAAAUUAUUCGUGCUUUACAAUUCCAUUUCUCAGCUGCGUUCGAGUUACAUGAAAUUUUUCAAGUUGAUUGUUUUGGCUUUGUUUUCAUUUCAACAAAAAUGCUUUUAGAACUUUAAGAUUCAAUAUUAAAAAACUAUUUUUGUAAGAAA